CCCUUAGACGUUCUGGGCCGCACGCGCGCUACACUGACGAAGGCAACGAGCUUUCCUUUACCGAAAGGUACGGGUAAUCUUUUGAAACUUCGUCGUGCUGGGGAUAGAUCCUUGCAAUUUUUGAUCUUAAACGAGGAAUGCCUAGUAAGCGCAAGUCAUCAACUCGCGUUGAUUACGUCCCUGCCCUUUGUACACACCGCCCGUCGCUACUACCGAUUGAAUGGUUUAGUGAGGCCUUCGGAUCCGCGACUCGUUUGUGGAGAAGUUGGACAAACUCAGUCAUUUAGAGGAAGUAAAAGUCGUAACA
rnacentral:rRNA from 1 species